rnacentral:rRNA from 1 species
GGACGAACGCUGGCGGCGUGCUUAACACAUGCAAGUCGAACGGAAAGGCCCUGCUUUUGUGGGGUGCUCGAGUGGCGAACGGGUGAGUAACACGUGAGUAACCUGCCCUUGACUCUGGGAUAACUUCAGGAAACUGGGGCUAAUACCGGAUAGGAGCUCCUGCUGCAUGGCGGGGGUUGGAAAGUUUCGGCGGAUGGGGAUGGACUCGCGGCUUAUCAGCUUGUUGGUGGGGUAGUGGCUUACCAAGGCCUUGACGGGCAGCCGGCCUGCAAGGGUGACCGGCCGCAUUGUGACUGAGAUACUGCCCAGACUCCUGCGGGAGACAGCAGUGGGGAAUGGAGCACGAUGGGCGGAAGCCUGAUGCAGCAACGGUGCGUGCGGGAUGACAGCCUUCCAGUUGUAAACGGAUUUGGGCUUUGACGUAGCGUGAGUGACAUUAAUGGGUGAAGAAACACAGACUGACUACGUG